CCAGGUUCUCAUGUGGUCCCAAAGCUAUUUCACAUCUCAUUGUUUAGCUGGAUGAGAUCUGAUCAUGUGUGUUCUCCAGUCUCUAACCUGGUGCAGAGAAUCAACCAGUUCUGAAGCAAAACUCAGCUUUAUUAAAGGAAACAGAGUGGAAGGCCAAGGAGUUUAGUCUCAAGAGAAAAAGAUCCUAAUGAGAAUGAGUAAUUUGUUAAACCAAACAUCACCAGUGAUUUCUAGGGGGAAAUUCUCCUCUUCUUCAGUGUCAUGAGCAUAUGGAGUUUCCUAUGUAGGAUAAAUAUAGAAAAUUCAGAAAUACGGAAAAUAAAUGUGUGUCUUUUUCCAUCCAUGAAAGUAAGCAAAGAGCAAACCCAGCAAGUACUUUGUCAAAGGAAUGCCUCUAGCUGGCUAUUUUGCUGCCCAUUCAGAUUAAAUAUACCCAAGAGAACUGUUCACUACCUUUACACUCCUCUGGUUCCAAGGAAGUACUGUGUUAGGAAAACAACCAAACAAAUGAACAAAUAUGACUUCUGGAAUCAACAGACCUUAGUUUCAAUCAAGUCCUCUCCUAUAGCAGUUGUGUAAAUCUGGAGAUGGUUGAAGACUAUUGACCCUCAAGUUAUCAAAAGUUUUUAACACAUUAAAAAAUGGAACAGGAAGGAAGAUGAAAAGAUAGACUGCCAAACCUGUAAUACCCCAGUCUACGAAACUUAAGUUCAACAGGGCAAUGAAUAAGAAAUACUUCUCAACAAACAAAGAAUGGUUUACAACCAUGGAGGCAUUCUGAGAGAAGUAAAUAUGUCAUCGAUUUUAAAUAGCAGUAUUAUCCAGAAGAGAACAGAUCAAUAGAAGUUGCAUAGGUUUUCAGAUGCUUCAGGAUAUUAAAGAACAAUCCCAUUUCCCCCUCCAUAAACCGUUCCAUCCAGAAGAGUAAUUUAAAAUGUGUCAUAAAUCAUUACCUGCUCAGCAACCAAUCAACAUCCAGGAAAAGUUAUAUCUCCCCCUAUUCUGCCUUGGAACAAUCAGAAAUGUUCUCAUUUUUGCUAAAACACAGGCCUGCCUGGUCCAGCCCUUUUGACUGGAUACAUGGGAGAAAAUAAAUUUUCUUUCAGAUUUAAUAUGGCAAAUACGAAAAGAAAAAACUGAUACAUUUCUUCAAAUAACUUAAAAGUACUGAAUGAUUUUUACUUAGGUGAUGUUCAUUACAUCCUUGUAAAUGAGUUGGUAAUGUUUAUUGCUGUUUCAAGAAAGCAUGAACAGAUACAGGUAAAUACAAAGAUUUGCUCCAUGCACAAGAUAGAAAGAUGAAGACUCAUAAUGAAAAAAGACUCAGAUUUUCAUGAGUGGUGUCAACACUCUAUGUAUGAUCCCACCUUCCUUGUUAGCCUGGAUGUUACUCUUAGAAAGUAAGAUUAUUCAUUCAUUGCCAAUUAUUUUCUGACCUUUUCAUUUUCUGAAGUUUUGUGUUGUUAAAAAAAAAGGUACAUUCUAUGAACUCUGGGAGUUUGUGCUAGUAAAAGAUAAAAUGUGUAAUCAAAUAGCUUUU